CUUGCUGGGGGGAUUAGUGGCGAACGGGUGAGUAACACGUGAGUAACCUGCCCUUAACUCUGGGAUAAGCCUGGGAAACUGGGUCAAACCGGAUAUGACUCCUCAUCGCAUGGUGGGGGGUGGAAAGCUUUUUGUGGUUUUGGAUGGACUCGCGGCCUAUCAGCUUGUUGGUGAGGUAAUGGCUUACCAAGGCGACGACGGGUAGCCGGCCUGAGAGGGUGACCGGCCACACUGGGACUGAGACACGGCCCAGACUCCUACGGGAGGCAGCAGUGGGGAAUAUUGCACAAUGGGCGCAAGCCUGAUGCAGCGACGCCGCGUGAGGGAUGACGGCCUUCGGGUUGUAAACCUCUUUCAGUAGGGAAGAAGCGAAAGUGACGGUACCUGCAGAAGAAGCGCCGGCUAACUACGUGCCAGCAGCCGCGGUAAUACGUAGGGCGCAAGCGUUAUCCGGAAUUAUUGGGCGUAAAGAGCUCGUAGGCGGUUUGUCGCGUCUGCCGUGAAAGUCCGGGGCUCAACUCCGGAUCUGCGGUGGGUACGGGCAGACUAGAGUGAUGUAGGGGAGACUGGAAUUCCUGGUGUAGCGGUGAAAUGCGCAGAUAUCAGGAGGAACACCGAUGGCGAAGGCAGGUCUCUGGGCAUUAACUGACGCUGAGGAGCGAAAGCAUGGGGAGCGAACAGGAUUAGAUACCCUGGUAGUCCAUG
rnacentral:rRNA from 1 species